rnacentral:rRNA from 1 species
GUGAGUCAUCGAAUCUUUGAACGCACCUUGCACUCUUUGGUAUUCCGAAGAGUAUGUCUGUUUGAGUGUCAUGAAACUCUCAACCCCCUCAUUUUGUAAUGAAGUGAGUCGUGGGCUUGGAUUAUGGCUGUCUGUCGGCUUCAUUGCCGGCUCAGCUGAAAUACACGAGUAACCCAGUUUGAAAAACUGACGGCUUGACUCGGCGUAAUAAUUAUUAUCGCUGAGGACGUCUAACCUUCAAAUCGUUAGUGGUGCUUCUAAUGCAAAUCAUUUUAAGAUUUAGACCUCAAAUCAGUCAGGAUUACCCGCUGAACUUAA